GAUGAACGCUAGCGGCAGGCUUAACACAUGCAAGUCGAGGGGUAUAGGUUUUCGGACCUAGAGACCGGCGCACGGGUGCGUAACGCGUAUGCAAUCUACCUUUUGCAGAGGGAUAGCCCAGAGAAAUUUGGAUUAAUACCUCAUAGUAUAUGGACUUCGCAUGGAGACCAUAUUAAAGUUCCAACGGCAAAAGAUGAGCAUGCGUCCCAUUAGCUAGAUGGUAAGGUAACGGCUUACCAUGGCUACGAUGGGUAGGGGUCCUGAGAGGGAGAUCCCCCACACUGGUACUGAGACACGGACCAGACUCCUACGGGAGGCAGCAGUGAGGAAUAUUGGACAAUGGGCGCAAGCCUGAUCCAGCCAUGCCGCGUGCAGGAUGACGGUCCUAUGGAUUGUAAACUGCUUUUACACAGGAAGAAACCAACGCUACGUGUAGCGUCUUGACGGUACUGUGAGAAUAAGG
rnacentral:rRNA from 1 species